AUACUACAUUUUUCACUAUCAUCCUUAGAAAAAAAGAAUUACGUAUCUUAGAGAUGAAAUAAAACUACUUCUCCGGGAAAAGGUAUCCAUAGUAAUAUUGUUAAUAUGUAGAAGAAAAAUCUAAAUAUAGGAUUUUUCUUUAUGUAUCAAUAUUAUGAAAUAAAGAAUAUUGUUUUGUACCCUCUUUUCUAAGUUUUAAAAUAGUUCCAAGUGAAGAUUGUGUUCAAAGUAGCCACAGACAAGAUGCUUGUAAAGACAAAAAUAAUGUUCAUUGCCCGAAGGAGAACAACUGUUGUGGUAAUAAGGCUAUUUUAAGGAGAGAAUAAGAGAGACUUGGGUAAACAUAUCCUAUCUCAAGCAACUAAAACUUUCUUGUUGUAUUUACUCCAAUCCAUUUUACCACCCUAUAAGGUGGAAAGAACAAUCGAGACCAAUUAAAUUGAGUACCAAACACUAUUAUUUGCAUUACCUGAAUUCUGUCUGCAUAAGAUAACUUCUUAGCUGUCUAUAAAGAAAUUCACUUCAUAAUCUUCCCAUAAGUGGUUGCCACUAGAUCAUAGUCAAUUUCUUAAUGAUAUUGGAACAUCUAAAUACUUAAAAGGUAAUUUUGUGUACCAACUUAUGCUAGCAUCCAUAUUCUUUUGUACCAUUGAAGAAUUCGACUGGCUAUCCUCCUACUUUGGGACCUGGUCCCAAACAAACAUAAACACCAAGAAUUUAAAUAGAAGAGUAUGUAACAGUAAAUAAACAAGGAACAUAGCAAAUUUUAGGUGGAAACUCCUUGCUUAAGGGAGAAAAACUUCGACCUGCCUUAAGGAUUUCCAACAGCUCCACUAAUAUUCAAGAAACCUUGAAUAUAGGCUCCAUGACAUCAAUGAUUAAACUCCUAAUUCUUCAUCAAAUAUUAAUACCUCUAUUACAAUGAACUCAAUGCAAUAACUCUAUUGCACACUGACCCAACUAACUCUAACUGAAUCACAAAGCUAACUCUAGAUUUUGUCAACUAAAUCUACAUAACAUUUUACCAAAAUAAUAAAAAGGAAAGCACCUAAUGAUAAUGAACUUAAAGUAGUACGCAAUGUUUCUAGACUCAAAAAUGAAGACUCAAGACAACAAGAGUUCUAAGGGACUGGCAAUGACUAAGUAGGUCCCUUAUUGUUGAUAAGCUUUUGAAUCAGCAAAGCUUCAACAGAUUUGAUGUGUUUUGGGAUAUGGAUGCAUUAAGUUUUUUUAUUGUUGAAAUGAGCAUUUAUAAGAGACAAGAAAACCUAGGAUUAAUCUUAUUGGUUGAGACAAAAAGGGUACAAGGCUUUUCAUCAACUUUUCUACGGUGUACUAUGUCCAUCUAUAGUACUGACCAAUGUCAAUGACGUGAAAUACGGUCAACUAGGUCCUUAAGUAGUUGUCGCUUUUGUCAUCACAAGAUCUUCAAGAACCAGGUCCCAAGGGAUAAUUUGUCAAUCAUCAAACUAAUGACUACA